rnacentral:rRNA from 1 species
GACGAACGCUGGCGGCGUGCUUAACACAUGCAAGUCGAGCGACGCUCUUCCUUCGGGGAGAUGACGGAGCGGCGAACGGGUGAGUAACACGUGGGCAACCUGCCCCUAGCUCUGGGACAACACCGGGAAACCGGUGCUAAUACCGGAUACGACAUCGAGCGGCAUCUCUCGAUGUGGAAAGUUUUUUCGGCUAGGGAUGGGCCCGCGGCCUAUCAGCUUGUUGGUGGGGUAAUGGCCCACCAAGGCGACGACGGGUAGCCGGCCUGAGAGGGCGACCGGCCACACUGGGACUGAGACACGGCCCAGACUCCUACGGGAGGCAGCAGUGGGGAAUAUUGCGCAAUGGGCGAAAGCCUGACGCAGCGACGCCGCGUGAGGGAUGACGGCCUUCGGGUUGUAAACCUCUUUCAGCAGGGACGAAUUCAGACGGUACCUGCAGAAGAAGCACCGGCCAACUACGCG